rnacentral:misc_RNA from 1 species
AUGUUAAAUUAUUUUGAGCCGGCUAUUUUAGCAAACUGUUGCGCUGCGUUACCCGACUGGAAGCUGUUGUCUCUUUGGUAAAAAGAAAAAAAAGAUUCAAACUAAAACUUUUAAUAUAAUAUUUUCUAUUUUAUGAUCAACAUGUGUUCUAUCUUUUAAAAACUAAAUCUCAGAAAUGUCGUGCAUUCCUACUACAUGUAGUAAUUUAUAUUUUGGAAGAUAUUAUAUGACACUAAAAAUUGGCAAACGCGAAGAUAAUUAAGCCAGCCUUUCAAGAAAGGAAUUGGGAAUUGGUGUUUUAAGCAGAGCCAGCAACUAAGGUUAUAUCACGGCAAAAAGGCAGCCAGUCCUGUAAACAGAUGUCACAUGCAGAAAAAGAACAGCGUGCUUAAUUGAGAGCCGAACCCGGGACGGCCGACUGUAUUGCCAACGGACCGCGCUUACGAGAAAAGAGCAGGAAAAAAAAUUAAUAAGUGGGAAUUUAUAAAGCGAAAUAUCUCAGCCAAAGCGGACUCAUUGCACUGAAUAAUAUCACAAAAUAGAAACAAAGAUGUAGACAAGUUAACAAAAUAGUAACAAAGAUGUAGAACGACAUCACAAAAUGUAGAACAAAAUAGUAAAGAUCUAGAACGAAGAACAAUGAAAUGCGAGGACUCGCUGCGUUCCAGGAAUAUAGGACGAUCACUGUAGAUUUAACGGUAACGACUCCAGAGAAUAAGGUUAGUGACAUCAGGAGAAUGCUUGGAAGAUACAUGUAUUUAGUAAUCUUGAUAAUAUGGAGAAAUGUUAUUAUAUGAGGGUGAUCAUCGCUUCAGCUAGUUUAUUCACUGUACCUCAAGGUCGCUGCUAAGUGGAAUACAAAGCUUUCACGAGUUUUAUAGGUGUAAAUAAAUGAAACCUUCGAAAACAUAUUGAACAUUAAAGCCAUCUUUUUUCUUUCUUUCUAACAUAUUUCCCGCCGUGCAUGUUGACCAACACACAAACACAUGAACUUGCAGACGAUUCGUGAUUGAAGGGACACCACUGCAAUCCAUCGUCCGUCGAAUUUCAAAAAGUACUCUCCCGUGAUCUUUUUUUUUUUUUAUAAAUUAUUAUUCACGUUGCAAUAAAACAGUUUCCACAAGACCUGCUUUUUCUUUGAUAAUGGCUGUGAAUAAAAUAAGUCACUUAUUCUUAUUUUAAUUUUAAAUAUGCUGAACAUUGUUCAGGUGUGUGACAAGUUUUUUGUGCGGGGAGGACGUGCUGAGACCUUCUCGUGAGAUCAGACGAGGUCUGGUGACAAGGGCAGUAAAUGACGUCAAGGGAUUUUCCCGAGGAGAAUCAUCGAUGAGUCAUCCACAAGAAACGAACAUCAGGGCCCAAUCAUAUUUCCUAUAAGUACGUUGUCGCUACUACCUGUUUCAUCGAAUCAGCCAAAGCACAAGGGCACCAGGGGGACGCCGUUUCAGGCCAGCGUCCUGCUCUGCAGGACCGGCAAAUCUCGCCAAUUUCUGAGCAAAUUUUCAAGAUGGCGACCCCGGAUAGCCCAAAUAGCGACAGUGAAAUUCAAGCAAGCAGGCAAAGUUUACGACUCGAGUUUAACUCUGGAGGGUCUCGACAAGGAUCCCCAUCGCUAGCAGACAUGGGACAUACAACACAAAUAGAGCGGUUGAGGUCCAGAGCUAUUGAAAGAUCUACUGGGAAACUUCAGAUCUCUCCUGGACAGACUUUUGACUUUACAGCUGAUGAUAUGAAAGAUCUUGGUGAAAUAGGUAGAGGAAACUAUGGGACAGUCAACAAAAUGCUGCACAAAAUGACUAACACUGUGAUGGCAGUAAAGCCUUAUCACUCAGGCAGUGAUCUAUGGCUCAGGCCUGCAUCGUCAACCAUGUUGAACUUUCGGUGUGGUGCGACUUCAGUGGUACUUGACUUUAAGUGGCUGGUGAGAGGUGCCAUCACAACGUGGAAUUUUCCAGUGGUACUGUUUUUGCUUUGUCAAAAAUGGCUGCCGUCAGAAAGCAAGCGAGUGUUUAAGAGAAUAAGAUCAACUGUGGAGGAGAGAGAGCAGAAACAGUUGCUAAUGGACCUAGAUGUGGUCAUGCGAAGCAACAACUGUCCAUACAUUGUCCAGUUCUAUGGGGCUUUAUUCAAAGAGGGAGACUGUUGGAUCUGUAUGGAGCUUAUGGACACAUCAUUAGACAAGUUCUACAAGUUUGUCUAUGGACAUUUGCAGAGCUCUAUACCUGAAAAUAUUUUAGGCAAAAUCACAGUCGCUACAUUAAAAGCACUCAACUACCUGAAGGAGCACCUAAAAAUUAUUCAUCGAGAUGUCAAGCCAUCAAACAUUUUGCUGGACAGAAAAGGAGCGAUCAAGCUGUGUGACUUCGGCAUCAGUGGUCAUCUGGUGGAUUCCAUAGCCAAGAGUCGAGAUGCUGGUUGCAGGCCAUACAUGGCUCCUGAAAGAAUAGACCCUCGGGCUUCCAGUCAUGGAUAUGAUGUCCGAUCAGAUGUUUGGAGCUUAGGUAUAACUUUGAUGGAGCUAGCUACCGGCCGGUUUCCCUAUCCCAAGUGGAAGAGUGUUUUUGACCAGCUGCAGCAGGUGGUGCAGGGGUGUGCACCACGCCUUCCUCAUGAUAAAACUUUCUCUGACGAGUUUGUGAAUUUCAUUAACAAAUGUUUAACAAAAGAUGAGAAACAGCGGCCAAAGUAUAACAAGUUGCUGGAUGAUCCCUUCAUUAAGCUUUCGGAAGAGCUGGAAGUGGAUGUAGCCUCAUAUGUAUGUUGUAUCCAUGACCAAAUGAAGGACUGUGUCAGCCUUACACCUACUGAAACCUCAUUGUCGUAACAGCAGACUGAUUCUAGCUAUCAUCUGCUUUUACAACAGUGCAAAAGGGCUUUUAUGGUCCCGCCAUGAUCAAACAGGGAUUCUUGAUGGGAACUUAUUCAGGAGUUCAGGAACCUGCCGUGCAAGUUAUGCUGAAGCUUUGAGCUGUUACCCAGCGGUAGUGUGUACAGUGUUUGAUAGAUGUGAGCAUAAUUAUGUCUGCAAAAGUACAAAAUUCAUUAUGAUGGUUGUUGAAAUUCUUCAUCUGUGUUAUAAUGUCAUUGUUUUUUCAUGAUUCACACAGAGACAAGGUAUUAGACCCUAGUUGUUAAGAUGUUGAUUAUGUUUGUAAAACUACCUUUAGAUGGAAACAUACUUUUUCUGUAAAAUCCUUUUGAGACACUUGUUUUUCUAUGAAAGAAAGAAUGAAGAUGCAGGCUGAGCUUAGUUGCCAAGAGGUCAGAACUGUCAGGGCAUUGAUCUUGAAUUUCAGCAAGUGCCUUGCAUAGUGCCAGACGUUUCAUUUUUGGUCAAUAGGUUAUGGGUGGCUGUUGUCAUUGCCAGCACAUUUCUAGGUGAAUCUGACAAAGGAAUGUCUUGAAUAAAAUGUUAGCAAAUAAAGAAUCUUUAUAGCCUUGCCUAGAGCUGAGCUAUUCAGAUUUUAAAUGUAGACCAGGAAAUAAGGACAUCCAGAUCUCAACAAAAAAGGUUUGGUGAAAGGGUUUAGGAAGCAUAAGCAUUGCACGAAAAAAAAAGUGAAUAGAAAAUAUAUAAUUUAAAAAACAUGUAAGCUAGCAUGGUGUAAAGAAGAUGAAGUCUUGAAAUCUGCAAAUGAUUGAUGCAAACACUAAAUUUUUAGUUUGACUGUUUGGUAUAAUGUUCUAUAUAUUUAGAGCCUGGACAGGUAACAGCUGUUAAUAAUAAACUUAUGUAUAACCUAAGAGACAUCACAUCUCUCCUGUCUGGCAUUCACCUCUAGAAACAAAAUGGAAUAAAGUACUGUUUUAUAGAAUGUAAAGUAUUUAUAGUAAGAACAAUGAAGUAGGUUGAUUUGUGUUAACCAUCUUAAAUUUAUCUCUGUGAGCAACAGGCUUGGUGGAACAGCAUUUUAGUAUGUGCCAAACUUAAGCAUCAUUUUACAGUGCAGCAUUUUGUUAAGACACCUUUGGCACCUUUCUCACACAGCUUUACAAUGAUGAGUUGUGACCAUGACUUCAUUUUUAAAGUUUAGUUGUUGUUUUUUUCGGUAAGCCUGCUUGUAGGUAUGUGGGUGGGAGGGGGGAUGCUCUGUAAGGUCUGUAAUGCAGAUGCAGAAACCUGCUAGUGAUACUUAAUCCUAUGAAAAAAAUCUUAGGAAGGGACAGGGAGAAGGAACUUUAGUUACAUGAAGAAUGUAUAAAAUAUGUGAAUACCAGCAUCAUUGGUCAGUAUCAGUGCCAUAUCUCUGGUUUUAUGGAGUGAGGGUUUUGUUUUGUUUUGCUGUUUUUGCUCGAACCAAGUUUUUAAAACAUUUUUGCAAAAUAUUGCCAGACUACCCUCUGUCAUUUUAAGAAAGGUUAGACGCUGGUAGGGAGAAACACGAAAUCCCCAUUACUUAUAUUUCUUGAUAUAGCUUAAAUUUAGUUGCUCGAGUUGCCAGCCAGAACUCUGUGUGUGUGUUUUUUUUACUUGUUUAAAUUACAGGUGUAAAGGAAUAAAAAAUAAAUGAGGGCUGGGACCUUUCAAAUCCAGGACAUAAUACUGAGCUGUUUUUUCCAUGUUUUAUAAGAUUUGACUUGGUAUUGUAAGUGGCAUGGGCGGUUGUUGCUUUUAGUCUUUUCAUUUUCUUUUGUUUUGAUGAGUGGAGAGAAUGCUUGUUGUGCCUGCGCAUUUUGUUCUUGUUCUUUUUGCAAUUAGAUGUACAUUCGGUGCCUUGGAUCAGUCAUGCUUAGUUGUGGUUAUUUAAAGGCAGCCACCCUUUCUGAAAUAUUCAGACCUUCCAUACUUUUUAUCAUUGCAGCUGUGAGGCCUAGUUAGAACUGUUGCUGUUUCUAAAUGUAAGUAGCUUGUCUGAUGUUCAGAGUGCUGUGUUCAGGCGGCUAGAUGCCCAAAAUUUAGCAAAAUGGUCAAUCAAGAAUGGUAUCCUUUUUUAAAUUAAAAAAAAAAUCAUUAUUCAUAACACUGGGUAAAUUAGGUAUGAUUAUGAUUGAGUUAUGUAGGAAAAUAUGGCAGAAAAAGAGUUAUAUUCUGUUUUUUUCCAUCACCACACAAGACCCAGUGUGUGACUAUAGUCAUCUUGCAACCUUUGAUCACUGCAUAUGCAUGCAAGAGUAUAGGCAUAUUUAAGUGUUUUUUGCUUUAAGUAGCUGUUUUUUUAUACUAUAUUAUUUAAGGAAUUAUUAAUGCAGUUUUGUCAGUUCUGUUCUUUUGUUAGGUUGCAGGGAAUUCUUGUACCCCUGAAGAAGAUGAAAGACUUAAGAAAAAUAAAUGUGAAUAUUUUCAUUGUAAAUUUGAUAUUAGAGUCAUCAAGCUAUCAUUCUUUGUUGGAUUUUGCUUCCUUUGCUCCAUUAUUUUGACAAAAUACCAAGGCUUCUGUGAUUAUUAUAUGUGAUUUUCAUUUACAUAGGAUUGGAAGAAGUCACAUUGGUGAUGUCUUGUUUCUGAAAUGUGUCUUUACCAUACAGUGCUUUGUAAGGUGAUCUGAGUUCCAGGAAGAGGUUUCUUUUUUUAAACUGUGGUGGUGUUAAAACAGCUCAUGAUAUCUGCAGGCAUAACACCACAAUCAACACUGGGCAUAAAAAAGCAUUCAAGAAAAAAGAAUUUAAUUGCUCACUUUUUAGGGAUUUAUUCCUGACUUCGGUCUAAUUGGUAUCUUAGUUUGCUUAGUUAAUUUCAUUCAGCAGCAGCAUUUCCGGUCAAUGGGUCAGUUUUCACUGAUUCAUUUUUUUUUUUUUUUAAUGUGUGCUAUGUGCAUUAUGCCCUUUUAUUUCUGUUACGUCUCUCUCUUUCUCUCACUCAAGAAUGUAUGUGGGUGUGUGGUUAUGUAGAGUACUCCAAGCAUUUACAGACAAUGUAAGUUUACUUAUUUUCAAGUGGGCAUCCACAGGAUCUUGCUCAUGGUGCCGACUGAAAGAUUGUGUCCAUGCUUCAUGCAUAAUGUGUUAUGUGCCCUUGGAGUCUCUUCCUGUGGCUUUUAGUUUGCAGCUUGCCAAUUUUGGACAUGCCAUAUAGUUUUCACAAUAGGAAUGGCAACAAAAAUUAUUGUUAAAACUUGGACCUUUUUCUAUAGAAAACCGGCAAAAGAGCAUCUGGAAAGUAAGCCAAGGUCACACAGGAAUGAAAGCAGAAAUCUUUUGUUUGAGCAUAACCACAAUUCAUUUCUCAUGAAAAAUUCAAAUUCCAUUAUAAUGUGCAGCCUUCAUGAAAAUAUUGGCUAUAUUAUACUAUAUGUCUAGUUCAUGAUUUAACAUUUUAAAAACUGUUAAAAGCUUUUGCUCAUUUUUAGUGAAAUUUACAUGCAUACUUGAGCGAACAUUACAUAAGCAUUGGUUUUGGAAGAAAAGGAAUUGUUUAUACCAUUCUUAUGGAUGUAGGUGGAAGGCAGAAUAGAGGUGGACAAAUCAGUUCUUUUCUGUUUCAUGGAUAUAAGUUCAAAUAUUGUUAAAGCUGUGCUAGUAGAUCAUGGUUACUUUUUAAGAAGUUCUUUCAGGAUUUAUUUUGACAUAUACUCAUGUUGCGCUUUUCAGAGGUGUUCUUCAUUAGAAUUAUUUCAGGAAUAGUAUAUAUAACAUCUGCAUUGUCAGGUCUUUUUUUAAAUAGGCUUUUUUUCUUUUUAUGAUUGUAAUAGGGAUGUCUUUUUUUAUUAUGAAAUCUUUUGCAGGAUGUAUUUAUGUAAAAAGUAUCUGAAGGAAUUUGUGAUAUGGCCUAUAGACAAGAAUUAUGCCACAAGAUUAAUACUGAGCAAAUAAGCACUGGUUAUUUUAUGUAUGCGACUUCUGACUUAUAAACGCGAACAUGGGCAGUUGUUUCAGGAAUGGCACAGGGGCUUAGGUUUAUGUCAGCAUUGGCAUAAGAUCUGUCAGCCAACAGAUCAAUGAGAUUUCUGGAAUUGUGUUUUUUUUUGGGUUUUUUUUUUUUUGCAAGUCAUAAAGUGACAAAAAAGAAAGAAGAAAAAUAGAAACAUAAAGACAAAUUAAGACUAAAUCCUUGGAGCUUAUGGCCCUUCAGCUGGGAAGCUGAUAAUCCAGAAUGAUGUUAUAGGUAGUUAUUUUUUAUUAUUGUUAUCUUCUUUAUUGUACAGCUGAACUGUGUGAGCUUAAAUAUGAUUUUAUAUAUAUAUUUAGAGGACUGAUAGAUUGUAAUUUAUUUUAAACCACUACAAUGGGAUUUAAAACUGGUACAGAUUCCUUCUUGAUAUUACACUUGAUCAGUUAGAUUAUAUUGUUAAAAACAGUGGGCAGAAUAUGUAUUCUUUAUAUUUAUAAUCUGUUGGAAACUACAGUAUCUGUGGAUUUAUUGGGGAGGACUAACUGAAAUUUUUAUGUUAGAAUAUCCAAGUAUGCAGUAAAAGGGGUGAUAUUGCUCUUUGGCUGUACUAAACAGUAAAAAGCUCUUUUUCUUUGGUUUAUAAAACCUUGCAGAAGGCAUGGCACAAAUAGGAAUGAAUUAAGAUGUGGGUGGUUUUAGAAUAAUUUGCUAAGAAUACUAUAAGCAUGUUUUGCCAUAGUAACAGCAGUGGAAUUAUUUCUGUUUUGGCAUUGAAAGAUGAGAAUAAGGAAUCUUUUGUUCCAAAUUUUUUCUUGCUGUUAAGAAAAGUAGCUGCCUCAGAAACACAGAGAAUCUCUUGCAGGAGUACUACACGUUAUUUUAAAAAGACAUGCAUACAGUGAUAAUAUAUACAAAGCAAAGAUACUAUUGUGAAUGGUGUUAUUUUGAGUUCUUAUUGAAAAGACAGCAGGCUGAGUGUGGGGGAUGAGGGAUGAAGACAGACCAUGCUACUUAAUACAGCUGGGACAUAUAUUGUGAAUAUGUGAUGGUAUAUUUGCACUAAGAUGAACGUGAGAUUAGGAGAUCUGCAUUGAUAUGUCAUAUUCCUUUUGUUUGUGCAUCAACAUUCCAUCAUGUCUCAGCAGGUUUUUAAACAUUUAUUUUCUUCUAACAGCAAUCAUAUACUUGAGCAUAUGCAUCAUUUUAAGGCCGUCACAUUUUUUCAUAGGUUUCAGAAAGUGGGCUUAAUAGAGCUACAAACAAAUAUAGCUUCAGCUUAUGUUAACCAUUUGGGUGGGUUUUUUUUUUUGUCUUUCUUUUGUGUGUUGAUUUGUGGUUUUUUUUGUUUGUUUGGGGUUUUUUUUUCCAUUUCAAGUGGGUUGGAAAUGGGAUUAAGCUGGUUGGCAUUUUGGAGGUUUUUGAGAGUUGAUACUUUGGAGUUUUUCUUCAUAUCAUGCUCUGAUUUUGCUUCAUGGUUUGAUUCAUUAUACGUUUUGCCAUCCAUUUUAUUUGAAGUUUAAAUAGAACUUUUAAAAAGUAGUGGAUUUUUUUUCCUUGAAAAAAAUGAUACUGUUUAGCAUUAUAUUGCCCCAGGUGCAUCAUGAAAGUACCUGGAAAUUAGAAAGGUUAAUGGGCACAUUUAGAUAGAAUAAGAAUAUUUUAUCUAGGUCUGAUAUCAAAAGUAAACGAAUUGCCUGUAAAAGUAAUGAUAACAGAUCAUCAAAGCCCAAAGAUAUCAGAAUGUUCAGUAAAAGCCCACAGAUAUCAGAAUGUUCAGUACUAUUCUUUCAAUUUAAUUUUCAACAUUCACGUGAUAAAUAAAAACCUGGCAUUUAUAUCAUACUAAUCAUAUCAGUUCUUGCAGAGGCUGAGAGAUUUGUUGGUGAGAAGUGUUUUUGAUAGUCUGAUACACUGCAGCUGCAUGCAGACUAUUCGUAACAACUAUAUCCCACUACCAGUGGUAUUUGGAUAAAAGUGGUGCUUGACAGCUUGGCUACCCUAGCAGGAACUAUUUUGACAGACUGCUUUAGGUGAGGUUUACAGUGACAUUUAACUAUUAUCUGAUUAUUUCAAUCAGAUUUCCAUGGUCUAGAAUGAGAUUUAAAAAAAAAACAAUUUUAAUAACUAACAAGAAUAGUGUGAAAAUUGGAUUUGUAAGACCUAAAAGAGCUAUAUGUUAUUCAUUCCUGUGUUUCAUUAAUAAUUGAAAUAGCUAGUACUCUUCUGUCACUGAUUACUGUUAAAGUGGUACUCCAAAAACAUCUCUUCAUUUUUUUUUUUUUUAAAGGGGGAAAAGCUGUCAGUUAAAAGCAACAUCUGCAUGACAUGCAAAGUACACUGGUAAACAAAACAUCAUUUUGUAUAUGUAAUUCUAACAACUGAGAUCUGUGUAGGCUGCUGACAAAAUUGCGUAGAUAUAUUUAUGGCGACUUUUUAUGAUGACUGACAAAUUAUGCAGUUGCAAAAAAGUUUUUGGGGGGUAGUAGUAUGUUUUUGGUUUUGUUUUUUUUUUAAAUUUUGAAAUCGAGAAAGAAGGCGCUUGAGUAGCAGAUAUUGUUCUGCAAAUGUAAAUGAAUUUCUUUACUAAAGCUAGAUGUGUGGAAGAAUGGUCACUUUGUAAGGUGUACCUGGACAAACAAAGCACAGACCAUGUUGAGUGUGCAAAGGAGAAAGGGUCUAUGAAAGAACCUCUGCAAAGAAGUGGAUUCAAUACAGUGGCCAUUCGAGACUUGCUGCCAGCAGCGCAUGAAAAGAUUGAUUCAUCAAUAACUUACGAAUCGCCUCCCCUGAUAUGCAACAUGCAGCGUGUUCUGUGUCCAGAGGCUGGGUGGUGCUACCAUUGUGGGUGAUGGGCCUCACUUGGGGGUCCUAGGAUUGGCAAGACGCUGCCAUGCCGAAAGGAGUGGGGAGGAGCUUGGAGUAUGUGAGUGAAUUGUGUGUGUGUGAAACGCACAGAUGCAUUGUAUGUUAACAAAAGAAAGAAGAGAACCAAAUUUGCUUUGUGUCAAAUGUUACUUGUUGAUUUAGAAUUUUGUGCAUAUAUUUAUCUUGCAGUUUGCAAAAAAAAAAAAAUAAUAAUAAUCAGUGGUGUAUAUAUUUUACCAAAAAAUAACACCACCAAAUUACUGACACCUUCAAAAUAAAUAUAUGAUGAUGCAGUUUUGAUGAACUGCUGCGUCAAUAUUCGUA